AUUGAACGCUGGCGGCAGGCCUAACACAUGCAAGUCGAGCGGAUGAAGGGAGCUUGCUCCUGGAUUCAGCGGCGGACGGGUGAGUAGUGCCUAGGAAUCUGCCUGGUAGUGGGGGAUAACGUCCGGAAACGGGCGCUGAUACCGCAUACGUCCUGAGGGAGAAAGUGGGGGAUCUUCGGACCUCACGCUAUCAGAUGAGCCUAGGUCGGAUUAGCUAGUUGGUGGGGUAAAGGCCUACCAAGGCGACGAUCCGUAACUGGUCUGAGAGGAUGAUCAGUCACACUGGAGCUGAGACACGGUCCAGACUCCUACGGGAGGCAGCAGUGGGGAAUAUUGGACAAUGGGCGAAAGCCUGAUCCAGCCAUGCCGCGUGUGUGAAGAAGGUCUUCGGAUUGUAAAGCACUUUAAGUUGGGAGGAAGGGCAGUAAGUUAAUACCUUGCUGUUUUGACGUUACCAACAGAAUAAGCACCGGCUAACUUCGUG
rnacentral:rRNA from 1 species